rnacentral:rRNA from 1 species
AUACGGAGGGUGCAAGCGUUAAUCGGAAUUACUGGGCGUAAAGCGCACGCAGGCGGUUUGUUAAGUCAGAUGUGAAAUCCCCGGGCUCAACCUGGGAACUGCAUCUGAUACUGGCAAGCUUGAGUCUCGUAGAGGGGGGUAGAAUUCCAGGUGUAGCGGUGAAAUGCGUAGAGAUCUGGAGGAAUAACGGUGGCGAAGGCGGCCCCCUGGACGAAGACUGACGCUCAGGUGCGAAAGCGUGGGGAGCAAACAGGAUUAGAUACCCUGGUAGUCCACGCCGUAAACGAUGUCGACUUGGAGGUUGUGCCCUUGAGGCGUGGCUUCCGGAGCUAACGCGUUAAGUCGACCGCCUGGGGAGUACGGCCGCAAGGUUAAAACUCAAAUGAAUUGACGGGG